AGCUAUUGCUAUUUGUGUAGUACUACACAAAAUCGACUAUGUCGAAUAAAAUUCUGGUUAGAUUAUGAUUAUGACAUUUUCUAGCCAUGUGUCUUGACCAAAUUACGUGCCAGCAGUCGCGGUAAUACGUAGAAGACUAGUGUUAUUCAUCUUUAAUAGGUUUAAAGGGUACUUAGACGGUAAACCAAGCCGUAACAGGGACUAGUUUGCUAGAGUUACUUACAAGGGGGCUUUAAAGUACUAAUGGUGUAGAGAUAAAAUUCUGUAAUACCUUUCUUACUAACGAGACUAAUGGCACUGGUAAAAGCGAAGGCAUCCUCCUAUGUGAUAACUGACGUUGAAGGACGAAGGCUUUGGAUCGCGAGAAGGAUUAGAUACCCUAAUAGUCGAAGCAGAAAAUGAUGAGUGUCAUAGAUUAGAUAGUAUGGUUUAUUCUAUAAAUGAAAGUGUAAGCACUCCACCUCAAGAGUAAUAUGGCAACAUAGGAACUGAAAUCAUUAGACCGUUUCUGAAACCAGUAGUGAAGUAUGUUGUUUAAUUUGAUAAUCCGCAAAAAACCUUACCACAACUUGAAUAUUUAUAUAUCUUAUAUAUUUACAAGCGUUGCACGGCUGUCUUCAGUUAAUGUCGUGAGACUUUGGUUAGAUCCAUUAAAUUAACGCAAGCCCUUACUUUAUUUUUAUAUAAAGUAGUUCCCCACUAUAGUGGAUAUGAUAACAGGGACUAAGACAAGUCAUCAUGGCCUAAAUGUUGUGGGCUAUAG
rnacentral:rRNA from 1 species